rnacentral:rRNA from 1 species
GAUGAACGCUGGCGGCGUGCUUAACACAUGCAAGUCGAACGGAAAGGCUCCUGCUUGCAGGGGUACUCGAGUGGCGAACGGGUGAGUAACACGUGGGUGAUCUGCCCAGCACUUCGGGAUAAGCCUGGGAAACUGGGUCUAAUACCGGAUAGGACGAUGGUUUGGAUGCCAUUGUGGAAAGUUUUUUCGGUGUGGGAUGAGCUCGCGGCCUAUCAGCUUGUUGGUGGGGUAAUGGCCUACCAAGGCGUCGACGGGUAGCCGGCCUGAGAGGGUGUACGGCCACAUUGGGACUGAGAUACGGCCCAGACUCCUACGGGAGGCAGCAGUGGGGAAUAUUGCACAAUGGGCGGAAGCCUGAUGCAGCGACGCCGCGUGGGGGAUGACGGCCUUCGGGUUGUAAACUCCUUUCGCUAGGGACGAAGCGCAAGUGACGGUACCUGGAGAAGAAGCACCGGCUAACUACGUG